AAAUUAUGAGAGAGGGAGGGAGGGAGGCGAUUUUGUUGGAUUAAGUUGUUUCUUUAUCAGAUUUUGAUCACGGGUAUCAACCAUGUCUGAGAAGGUUGUGUAUUCUAUCUUGAAUCAUGGUGAUCAUUCGACCCUAUUCCGUAGAUGUGUACAUUUUUGUACAAUGAAAUUCUCUGUGAUGAAUGCAUGGGUUGUUUUGUUUGAAUCAGUGCUCUAUUUUGUCAUUUUUCUGUAGAUUUUUACAUACUUGUACACUAGUAUGCUCUGUGAUGAAUGAAUGACAUGUUUUGCGGGUAUGGAUGUAGAUUUUGUUAUUUUUCUGCGGAUGUGUAAAUGUUUGUACACCGAAAUACUCUGUGACGAAUAAAUGCCCUGUCAUGUGGGUAUGGAGUUAUAUUCUUUUAGGUUUUUGUAGAGGUGUACAUGUUUGCUCACUAGUAUGUUGUGUGAUGAAUGGAUGGUCUGACAAGUGGGUAUGGAUGCUAGAAUUCAUUAGGUUUCUGUAGAGGUGUACAUAUUUGUACACUAGUUAUAUGUUGCAGUUUAUAUAGAAUGUGCACUUUUAAUGUACAUUGUAUAUAUUUUUUAUAUAAGUUUUUUGUAAUAAUGUAGGGUAUCAACAAUGCCUAAGAAGGUUGUGUAUGCUUAUUGAAUCAUGAUGAGCAUUCAGCUCUAUUUUGGAAGAUGUGUACAUAUUUGUAUACUGAAAUUCUAUGUGAUGAAUGCAUGGGUUUUUUUGUUUGAGUAAA